AUGUCCAACUGGCAGGUGUCAUCUGACCUUGACCUCAUUUUCAUGGUUCAGUGGUUAUAGUUAAGUUUUUGUGUUUUGGUCUGUGUUUCUUAUACUGUAUGCAAUAGGUCUACUAUAUUUGGUGUAUGGAAUGAUUGUAAGGUGUACAUGUCUAGCUGGCAGGUCUCAUUUGACCUUGACCUCAUUUUCAUGGUUCAGUGGUCAAAGUUAAGAUUUUGAGUUUUGGUCUUUUUUUCUAAUACUAUAUGCAAUAGGUCAACUAUAUUUGGUGUAUGGAAAUAUUUUAUGAUCUAUAUGUCAGUCGUGCAGGUUUUAUUUGACCUUGACCUCAUUUUCACAGUUCAUUGCUCAGUGUUAAGUUUUUGUGUUUUGGUCUGUUUUUCUUAAACUAUAAGCAAUAGGUCAACUAUAUUUGUUGUAUGGAAGAAUUGUUAGCUGUACAUGCCUGCCUGGCAUGGUUCAUCUGACCUUGACCUCAUUUUCAUGGUUCAUUGGUCAAUGUUUAGUUUUGUGUUUUGGUCUGUUUUUCAAAUACUAAUAGUAAUAGGUCAGCUAUAUUUGGUGAAUGGAAUAACUGUAAUGUGUACAUGCCUGUCUGGCAAGUACAAUCAGACCUUGACCCCAUUUUCAUGGUUCAUUGGUCAAUGUUAAGUUUUUGUGUUUUUGUCUGUUUUUUGGUCAAAAAUAGGUCACUCUGAAAUAAUUUUACCAUCAUGUUCCAUUGUAGUUCAGGUAGAGGAAGAAGAGUGCUUGAUGUGAUAAUUUUUUAUCAUUUUUACGACUUUGUGUCUCAAAGGAGCUGAAGAAAAUUGUUCAAUUAGAUGGCCUGUGCAUUAUUAAUUUCAAUGAACAAGCUAAAAAAUUCCAAAGACAAUAUAACUCUUGGCAUUUUUUUGUCAAUCUUUUUUUCACUGCUACAGAUUAGAUUAUGAAGGUUUGGUACAUUUGUUGAACAUUUUAUAGUAAUACAAUCAAAUUAUACAUUAAUUAGUUUUUUCUUCAGAGAAACAUAAAAAAAAACAAGAUACCUCCAUUUGAAAAGAAUCAAUAUAACAAGUGCUGUCAAUUGUUAUUUUUACUUUAUUAUGUUGAAGAAUGUAUGUAUUGUAUGCAUUUCAUUUUGUUUUUAGUGAACUAUUAACAAGUUCAUAUGAUCUGCUUUAAAUGUUAUAUUAUACAUGAAUGUUAUUUUCAAUGUAACAUUUUUACUGGCAUGUUAUUUUCAAUGUAACAUUUUUACUGGCAUGUUAUUUUCAAUGUAACAUUUUUACUGGCAUGUUAUUUUCAAUGUAACAUUUUUACUGGCAUGGUACUUCCAAUGUAACAUUUUACAUAAAAAUAACUUAAAAUGUAAUGUUAUACAUGUAUGUUACGUUCAAUGUAACAUUUUUACUUGCAUUUUACGUUAAAUAUAACUUUUUUACUUGCAUAUUACUUCAAAUGUAACAUUUUUACUGGCAUGUUACUUUCAAUGUAACAUUUUACAGCAGAGUGACAUGAAAUAUCAUAUUUUACUUGAAAGUAACUUUAUAUGUAACAUUUUUAAUUGCAUGUUACUUUCAAUGUAACAUUUUACAUCAAAGUGACUUAAAAUGUAAUAUUUUACAUGCAUGUUACUUUUUAAUGGCUUUGAAGUUUUGUAUUUUGCAUUUACAUAAGGACAUUUGAAAACUAGGGCCAUUUUAUAUUUCAUGUUGUAUAUGUAUGAAAGUUGUUAUGCAUUAAUUAAAAAUGAUAUACUUUGCACAA